AAAUAGCCCUGAGUGAAGCGACAUCCUUUUGCACAGUUGGAACGGAGCAAAAGAUAUAGCGUAAAGCAGGUUUCCGG
rnacentral:sRNA from 1 species